rnacentral:rRNA from 1 species
AUUGAACGCUGGCGGCAGGCCUAACACAUGCAAGUCGAACGAGUGGCGGACGGGUGAGUAAUGUCUGGGAAACUGCCCGAUGGAGGGGGAUAACUACUGGAAACGGUAGCUAAUACCGCAUACCAUCGGAUGUGCCCAGAUGGGAUUAGCUAGUAGGUGGGGUAACGGCUCACCUAGGCGACGAUCCCUAGCUGGUCUGAGAGGAUGACCAGCCACACUGAAACUGAGACUCGGUCCAGACCCCGAGGAGGGGCAGCAGUGGGGAAUUUUGCACAAUGGGCGCAAGGCUGGUGCAGCUGUGCCGCGUGUAUGAAGAAGGCCAUGGGGGUGUAAAGUACUUGCAGCGGGGAGGCGUUACUCGCAGAAGAAGCACCGGCUAACUCCGUGCCAGCAGCGCGUAAUAC